rnacentral:rRNA from 1 species
GACGAACGCUGGCGGCGUGCCUAAUACAUGCAAGUAGAACGCUGAAGGAGGAGCUUGCUUCUCUGGAUGAGUCGCGAACGGGUGAGUAACGCGUAGGUAACCUGCCUGGUAGCGGGGGAUAACUAUUGGAAACGAUAGCUAAUACCGCAUAAGAGUAGAUGUUGCAUGACAUUUGCUUAAAAGGUGCAAUUGCAUCACUACCAGAUGGACCUGCGUUGUAUUAGCUAGUUGGUGGGGUAACGGCUCACCAAGGCGACGAUACAUAGCCGACCUGAGAGGGUGAUCGGCCACACUGGGACUGAGACACGGCCCAGACUCCUACGGGAGGCAGCAGUAGGGAAUCUUCGGCAAUGGACGGAAGUCUGACCGAGCAACGCCGCGUGAGUGAAGAAGGUUUUCGGAUCGUAAAGCUCUGUUGUAAGAGAAGAACGAGUGUGAGAGUGGAAAGUUCACACUGUGACGGUAUCUUACCAGAAAGGGACGGCUAACUACGUG